rnacentral:rRNA from 1 species
GGGCUUGACAUCCCACGAACCUGCCUGAAAGGGCGGGGUGCCCGCAAGGGAGCGUGGAGACAGGUGGUGCAUGGCUGUCGUCAGCUCGUGUCGUGAGAUGUUGGAUUAAGUCCCGCAACGAGCGCAACCCUCACCCCUAGUUGCCACCGGGUAAAGCCGAGCACUCGAGGGGAACUGCCAGCGUCAAGCUGGAGGAAGGCAGGGAUGACGUCAAGUCAUCAUGCCCCUUACGCCCUGGGCUACACACGUGCUACAAUGGCCAGUACAAAGGGAUGCGAGACCGCAAGGUGGAGCUAAUCCCAGAAAGCUGGUCUAAGUUCGGAUUGCAGUCUGCAACUCGACUGCAUGAAGUAGGAAUCGCUAGUAAUCGCGCAUCAGCACGGCGCGGUGAAUACGUUCCCGGGCCUUGUACACACCGCCCGUCACACCACGAAAGCUGUCUGUACUCGAAGUCGCUGAGA